AUUGUUUUCGUCCUUCUCUACUUCCUGGAUGUGUUCCGAGCGCACGGACAUACACGUGCCUGCGCAGAUUCCCUGAACUACUAGGGUCGCGGGGAAACUUGAGCCUUUCCCAGGGAGCAUGGGGUAAAAGGCGGGGUUCACCCUGGAAAGGGUGCCAAUCCAUCGCAGGGCACAUAAGACAUUCACACACCCAUUCAUACUCUACAGACACUUUGGACAUGCCAAUCAGCCUACCAUGCAUGUUUUUGGACUGGGGGAGGAAACUCGAGUACCUGGAGGAAACCCCCACAGCACGGGGAGAACAUGCAAACUCUGCACAUACAGGGUAGAGGCAGGAAUCGAACCCGCAACCCUGGAGAAUGAAGAGUAAAGCCCACACCUGCGUGCCGCCUCAGACUUCCUGGGACAUUUGAGCUGGGGGAAGGGGUAGUAUGGACUCAUGGGAGUAUGAGUGGACCGGUAGCUUCCACAGCUCAACUGUCUGGACAACACUGCAGCUGGGUGAUGUAUGAGGAGCCAAACUACCGUGGCCGUAUGUACAUCAUGGAGAGAGGAAACUACUGCAGCCACAACGAGUGGCAGGCCCAGACCCCCAACAUCCAGUCCAUCCGCAGGGUCGUC